CAGCUUCGUUCUAUAGAGGGUUCAUCCUCAAAGAGUGCUUGAAAUGGGGGCCCGGAAGUUAGGAGUGAGCCUAAGCGUUAAAUGCUGUUUCUAGGGUCUCGACUCUGUUCUGCGGAGAGAGAGAGGCAGAGACACAGGCAGAGGGAGAAGCAGGCUCCAUGCAGGGAGCCGGAUCACUACCUGAGCCAAUGGCAGACGCUCAACCACUGCUGAGCCACCCAGGUGUCCCGCUCAUCAUGAAAUGGACUUGCCCCAUCCAUCCCAGCUAGAGGAUAUAGGAAUAUAGGUAGAGACUCGGCAAGGGUAUUUUGACCAAACUUUGCAUGAAAGAUUCAUUCCAUGCUCAGGAAACCGUAUCUUCGGGGCAGGAUUCAGAAGAUCUUCACAACAGUAAUUCUCAGUGCACUCCACAUCCAGCAUGGAGCCCAGCAUGGAGCUUGAAUUUAUGACCAUGAGAUCAAGACCUGAGCUGAGACUAAGAAUUGGAUGCUUAACCAACUGAGUCACCCAAGGUUUCCCUGUUCAGUUAUUAUUACAAACACUGAAAAAUACACAAGAUACAGUUGUCAGACCAAUGAUGAUCGAGACUGCAUUUUUUUUCUGACUGGGUCUUAGAUGUAAAUGAGCCAAACAGAAGAAAGCCUAGCCCCUGCCUCAGUUCUUGGGGAGUUGGACCAGUGACUGCUCCAAUACAAGGGAACAAAAGAAAUGCUUCAGAGAAGCUAAGUCAGAAGUUGGCCACACAAGGAGUUACUAGAGUUGGCAUUCUCGCUCCAUUUUUUUCGAGGAUGCCCCUGAGACCCAACCACUCUCCCGUCUCUACCCUCUACUGGUGGAACUUUGACAGCUGAAUCAUAUCUGAGGAGCUCUUUUUUUUUUUUUCUUUUUUUUUUUUCUGAGGAGCUCUUAAUACCACGUCUGUCACUAGCUACAGCGAUCUGAAGAGGGGGAAAUGCCCCUACUGUGAAUGUCCUGCACUAGGAUGGGGGUGGGAGCAAAGGAGGAACAGGCAGUGGAUGUCAUUUUUUUAUAUCAUGCAUAAGACCUAAGAAAUAAGCAUCUUUUCCUUUAAAGAGCCAAGUGGUAAGUGAUCAAUUCAACUGGACCAUGGGGUUAGGUCUAGGAUAAAAGACCUUGUCUUUAAUUCAUUCAACUAGCUCAGACAGAUCUUAAGUACAAGAUGCUUAUUAACAAAGAACAGUAUAUAUUUUUAAGAUAAAGCACAUAAGACAAUAUUAUAUCUAGCUCUGUCAAAGAGACACAGAGGCAAGUCUCUUUGGGCUUCUGAAGGGUAUUCCUCCCUGAGAGCACAAUGAGGAGAAAGUUCCUUGACUGCUAUCUACUUUGCUUCCUGCUAUGGCUCUGGACACUCAUUUGAAAAAAUGAAGCUGAGCUGUAGCAGCCACUCUGCAACACUGAGGCUAGCAGAACAAACAGAUCUAAGAAAAUCUUGAUGAUGUUUUGGCCGCCACCCAACUCUGGAGCCAUUUAUCUCUAGACUCCUCAUUACAAGCGAUAACUGAGCAUCCUUAUUGCUUAUGCCACUGUCAGCCCAGCUUCCCGUUACACUUAUGCUGAUCAUACUCUGCGAGAAGCACUUUUCUGUCUGGAACCAAAUAAAUGCUUUAUUUUCAUUGUAACUUAAAAACCACUCUAUUAAAAGGCCACUAUUACAUAAUUUUUAUAGAAAAUAAAUAAAACUGAGCUUAGGGAGGGUAAGUAAUUUUCCCCAAGGUUUACCAGUGGGGUUGGAUUCAAACCCAACCCUGACUCUAAAUCCCACACUGUGCCACUUUACUCACAGUUAAAAAAUUAACGAGUCUAUAGUUCUCCCUUUUAGAAUCGCAAAAAAAUGCCUACACACGGAUGCAGGUAGUAAUAAAUUUGCAUGCAUUUGCACUCACACAUAGCAAUUUUGACUUUACACUUUUUACUUCCAUU